UCUCCUACCCUAUGAUUUAUCUGGUCUUGAUUUGGCUCCUCCCUUCCCUCUUCCACUCCCCAUGAUUUUUCGUUCUUGUUUCUGUAGAAGUUCCUGUAUCUAUGCAUAUAGGGUGUUUGAGGAAAAUCCAAGCAGUGUACAUGUACAACUUAAUUCCUUAUUAUGUAUGUUGCCUAAUAAUCCACCAAAAAUUGCCUGCAAUCAAAGAUGACUUGCCCAUAUAAUAUUUGCAUUUCUCAAUUUUGUGACUUUCAUUUGAAAGCUAUCACUAACGAGAUGUUUGAGUACAUGUCUAGGAAAGUAACAUGUGUUAGAUUGCUUGAGACACCCAUCACAUAGUAUUUCUCAGAUUGGAAGCUCAUAUACAGGUCUCUUGGUUAUUUGAGAAAAUGAGAAGUAUUAGAUGAUUUCAGUAUCGUGCUUACCUAUCAAGAGUAGGGCCGUUCUGCUGAUCAAGAGCACAGCCAGCGGGGCAUUUAGGAUACUAGAAAAUUAUCUCCAGGUAUAUUUCCGAAGUUCGUGGUAGUCGGCCAGGUCCUACCAGCACCUGGGAACAAAGCAUCGACGGCGGUAACCUCGCUAGCUCCACACUGUCCUAGAAUUUUGGGUGGAAGAAGCAUGAGUUUGUCCGAGCUUGAUGUCAUAUCGUUAUUUGGUAUGUCCCUUCGUAGGCCACCUCACUCAUUUGCUGGUUUGCUCCUGCACUCCGUCUCACAUCUCCUCUCCUCGGUGCUCAACCCGAGGAGUGCGGGAUGCUGUUGUGCGCCCCCAUUCCUUGCUCUGUCUGAUGUACAAGCUAUGGCGGAUCUCGCGGAUGACCGCAACCUGAAAGCUGCAAGUUUCGAUCAUGGAGCCAUCACAUUCCAUCAAGGUCGCACCGUUCGCCUUGAAUCUGUUUGAUGUUUGACAUGCCAUCUUAUUGAUGUAGGGGUCGUUAUGUCCAUGAUCACCGGGAGAGCCAUCUCCCUGGUUGCUCAAAGCGACCAGCGGAUGUUAGACACACUUGUCUGGGUUGGAUCUAACAAGGAGGUGCCAACUCUCUCAGCACGUCUUUCUAACUCUAAUAUUUGGUUUGUGCAUUUCAUAUAUAGGUGGAUUAGUAUUUGGAAUUGAUAUAAUCCAUAGGCAUAUUUCUUAUACAAUUGAAAAUGCAGAGUAGGGGCUGAGAUGUACACUAUAUAUGUUUAUACCCAUUUGGUUGUAAAGGUACAGUCAAGAUGAACAAUUCAAUAUUUUACUAUUUGGUAAUGUAAAUUAUGAACCAUGUCGCACCAUUUUUUUCAUAGCAGCAAUGUUUCUCAGUAUAUAUUGGAAAACUGUGUUUGAACAGGUCAAUUGCAAAGAACACAUGAGACUUACAUCCGAUAUAGAACAUAAUUGUGGUUCAUGGGUAAGAGACCAGGGGUACGAUCCUACAGCGGCAGCUCUCCACGGUGGUGGCGAGGAAUCAGUUGAUAGGAUGUUGGGCAAGAUCGAAUUUCCCAACCUACAUGAACAUCUUAUCCUUUUAAAGGACUUAUAGUCAUUCGUGGCUUGGAUUCAACUAAUAUGUGAGUUAUUCUCUUUUCCAGUUUCUCUCUGAAUCUACAAAUCUGUGUGAUAGUUGAUGCAGUUCAUUCCCUUGAAAAUAUCAUCUGGUUAUCAAGAAGGCCACCAUAGUUGAUGUCAGUGGUGACUGGGGACAUGCUACUUUAGCGAGAGGUUGAUCUUUUUUCCUUUGCAUGAAUGACUUCAAGUGGCCGUGUUUUGUCUCAGCAUAGCUACUAAUCCUUAUAUCAUUUUAGCACACACUCCCUCCAUUCCUAACUAAGAUGUUUUUGGAGUUCACUUUGCUGGAUCAGCUCGCAGUGAGCAUGCGUGUCAGACCUUGGCUUGAGCAGAGAUGAGCAGCAUGUUCUAAAUAAUGUGUGUCAGACCGCCGCUCGCACCGCCGUGGCGCGCCGUGAUGUCGCCGGAAGGAUCCGCCGGUCGAGCUCCGUCUGUCCUGCACGUUUCUACGCCCGUGAGCUUCUCCUCCACGAUCCCCACUUGCUCCUGCUGCUUCGUAAAUGAUCUUACCGAAGCGACAUCAUCAAAUCUCGUCUCAACAAAGGAGCCAUAAGACGUAGAAAUAAGAGCAUUCAUGGUAUGAACUAAUCUCCUUAAUCACCGUAUCCACCUCACCCGAAUGGAACAAGGAGAAGCUUGCUGCCUUUUCUUUUUGGUACAUCGAUUUUUGUAAAUCAUGCUGCUCGAUUCAUGGCCCCCUCCUAGCAAGAAUUCAGAGAUAGGGCCAAAGUGACAAUCAGAUUCUUUCCAUGAUGCUAGAAAGAGACAAGAAAAUAACAAAGAGGUUAUGGCAUUGUAAAAUUUCCUAAAUGAUAAGUAUCUUCACUAGGCUCCAACAUGUUGGCCACCCUGCCGAAAACCAUGUUAGUUCUUUAUAGCCUGGUUAGGUUUUGCUUGAAUGUUCUUCGGAUUUGCAGUUACUGUCUGAAGCAUGAAAUUGAGUAGAAAAUUAC